GAUGGGCCGGGAGGAAACCAAAUUGUCAAUGCGGGGGUGGGGUGGGGUGGCUACUGCUUUCUUUACAUAUUCCUUCGCUUCCCUUUGCUUUGUGCCACCUCCCCCGCAGCUGCUUAGCCUGCAAAAUUCAGAAAACUUAAGGCACGCUCUGCACUAAUUUCAUUGAAGGUAGUGGCUCAGCUCCAAAGUGAGUAUGCUGUGAUCUGCAUUUUUUUUUCCUUUUAACUUUUCACUCUUCAUUUGGAUUUUGCACUCCGCCUGCUUGAGGGACUCCUUUUUAAAACUGACUAGUCGGGUUUUUUUUUUAUUAUUAUUAUUAUUAUUUCUUAACUUGAGCUGCGUAUGGUCCUGCAUCCCAGUUUGGCACUUGCAUUCCAGUUGCAACUGAUUUAGACGAAAUGGUUUGUUUUUGACUGCCCCUGCUUUCAACUGGCUUGAAUAAAUAAUUGCGAAAAUUAAUUCUCUGAAUCCUGUGGGUGAUUUAGUAGAACUCAUAAAUAAUGGAAUACAUGGACGGUUUCAUUUUGUACAUGAACAGACUUCUGAAGAGACGAUUGUUUUUUACUUUCUUCCAAAACAUUAUUUCAGGCUAUGCUUUAGUUUGUACUGUACAUACUGUACAGUUUUAAGUGUUUCAGAAAAUCUGCACAUCUUCCAAAGUUUACAAUUUUAUGCUACAUAAGACUAAUACAGUUAUUAUGACAAUUUUGUGGAGUAAUCCAAACCAUCAGAAUGUUGUAGAUCUCUCCAGGUCCAAAGGCUUCACAUCCUGUUGGUGUUCCAAAGGGGUCCCAAGAGCUGCUUCUUUUCCUGGCCUUUUGUGGAGGUGACUGGAGCCUCUUUAUACAGAAUACUUUGUGCCCCAUGGAGAUGAACCAAGACUUACAAUACAUAAAGCAGGAGGCUUUUACUUCCAUGCCAACGGUAAUUUACAAAUACUGUGAUUUUUCCCACUGAAAAGGUUUAUUUUUAUUUAAAUGGAUAUGUAGUAAAAGUAAAUAGUAAAUAGUAAGAAUUAUUUUUUCUCUCCACAUUAACAACAGCGGUAUUCUGGUUCCACGAUUUUUCCCAUGGAUUAUUUUUGAAUUGUACACAAAUUUAUAACUAUAUAAUUGUUCCUAAUACAUAAGAUCUUUGGGUACAUUUUCUCCUAAAUUUGAAGGAAAAAUGCAAUUAAAUCUAAUGUUUUAACAAACACAUUUUAUUAAUGCAGACUUUAAAAUAUAAAGACUGUAUCAUGAAAUAGGUUCUUUAUAAAAAUGUAAGUGCCAUUAUUUAUACGUCACUUUCAGAAGAGGACUUUGUCAGACUUUAUUUUUAUAGGAGGAUGAAUGCAAGAUUAGCUUGAAGCUAGCAUUUGUCUUGCAAGAAACAUCCAAUUUCUGCUGUCAGCAGAGGUCACGGUGGUGUUUACAUUCCUAAUAUACAUUGUAUAUGCAGGGUUACAAUUAGAAUGCUCUUCAUGAUCCCAGUUUUCUAGGAAAAUAAAAUAGAACCACUGACAACCAAAAUAAUGUUCUUCUGCUACUUUAUCUACUAAAUUACUUUUUUAAAAUUAUAAUUUGCAAUGGUUGUUUGGUUUAUUUGAGAUCUCAUAAGAAUUUAACUAUGGUUCUAAGUUCUGAUUUUUCACUGACUUGCACAAUACUUUAUCAGGAACUUGGAACAUUAUGCUAAAGUGGAUGUUUGAACAACUCAUAAAUUCAUCUUUUUGUAAUGAGAGAAGAUGACAGUUAUGCAUGAGUUCCAGAUUCUAGACAAUUCAUAUCCUGCUGAAGUUAAACAAAUAUAUAUAACUCACAUCUUUAGAUUGCACAACUGAAGUAUAACAGUGAAUACUAAAUUCACCUUUUCAGCCAUUUUUUUUUGUGCAUUCCUUAGACAUCUGGAGUCGUCCAAAACCUUGCAAGUAAACCAUUAAAAAAUUAAGUGGUUCUAGUUCAAAAACAGUUUCAGUUGCAAAAGCAGCAACACUAUUUUUUAAAGGGCCUAAAACAUCAGUUUUAAGACAUCAUACCGAGUUCUCUUUCUUUGUCCAGUUGAAACAACACAAAAUAAGAGUCAUUAUCCAAAUAUGACUUCAGAUAUCUUCAAAAAGAGCUUUAAGCAUCGACUAGAGCUGACAAAUUUAGGCAGCUCUUAGAAAAUUGUCCUCUAGGGCUUGGGGAUUCUGUGUUAUAAUGGCAAUGGAUCUGGAUACUUGAAGGAUAAUAAAUUGUUUAAAUUUUUGGCUGGUUAUUCCAGAGGGUGGCACACAGGCAGAAAUAAUAUUCAGUAAUAAAAUUUCAUAGAUGCUUUUGUAACCCACAUUCAGGAUAAAUAACAUGAGUUAGUGAAAGAAAAGCAAGAAAAAUAAACUUUUUAUUUACACUGCCCAGACUCCCUCUAUGAAGGGGGUGGACAGCUUAAAAAUGAAAUAGGUAGGUAGAUGAUUAGAUGAUGGAUGGAUGGAUGGAUGGAUGGAUCGGAGAGAGGCAGGCAGGCAGGCAGAUACAAUGUCCAUGAAACAGAAAGGAGAAGAAUAGAUCUGGGAAGUAAAAAGAUAAAAUUAUGAAUGAAAGCUAAAGUGUCAAUGAGGGUCACUGAGACUGGUAGGCAUGUAUGAAAGCUAGAAUAUAUAGACUGAUAUUACCCUCCAGCGAAUGGAGACAGUGGAAGAUAUAGGAUAAGUUUGGAGAAAACCCAGGAGAAAAAUUAUUCUGCUGAGACAUGAAUGAACGGGUGUGAAUAAGUAACCAUUUGGAGACUUAAAAAUGAAUGAGAAUAGUGACUCUGGGGAAUAUCAGCUUAGAAGAAGGUCUAUUAGUUUUGAAUAUAUACCCUCAGUAUAAGCUCAUACUUAUACAUAGCAAAAGAAAGAAUAUACAUUUGAACACACAAUUGAUUUGACUACUUAUUAUGUAAUAUUAAGAGAAUGUGAAGAAGAUAAAAAGAGUUUCUGAAUCUGGGACAAACUAUUAUUUGGUUAUGUCAGCAAUAGAUCUUGGGGGAAAAUAGACAUGAAAGGAAUAAUAAAGGAGUGAGAGAAAUAAGAAUCAAAUGGAAUGACUGUAGAAAGAAAAAGAACAGUAUUGCAUGGGAAAAAAUAAUUAAAAACAGAUUAAUCUUCCAGAGAAUGAAUUGAUUAAUGUUUUAGAAGAAUGUGUACAUUAGGAAAUAUAAUGUAGAAAGUAUUCAGACCCAGAAAAAAACAACCCUUUGAUAUCGUGCAUUGAAAACUUUUGGAUCAAAUUUUCCCCAAAUAUGAAAGUCCUUCUCUUUCCCUUGUAAUUAAAUGGUGACAUUUAUGAUCUUCAGCCAUGGUUAGAAAUGGAAUUAUUUCUUCACCUAUCAAGAUGUCUUGCAGAACUCAUCAAACAUGUCAUCAAGCUUUUAUGUUUAAUUUGAUAUUGGACAUGUUAUCUCACUGUCUUAUAUCUUUAUCUGAAAGUCACUUCAGCAGAUGUAAUGGAAUGUGUGAAUGACCUUGGGGAAUGAAAGGAAGAGAUGCUGCCUAGAAAACAAUCAGACGAGAGGUAGGAGUUCUUGAAGUAUGUAUUUUCACACUUUCAAGACUCUGUUAAUGUAGUUUUACAAUAAAGAAUUAGUUCAUUUA